rnacentral:rRNA from 1 species
GUAUGCACAGGUGACUUGUGUGGGCGCCCUGCGGAUGACUUGAAGAGCAUCCGGAGCGCGUCCUGGAUUCAAGUAAUUCAGCGAACGCGAGCCUGGAAGCUUCACGAAGAAUCGGUGGCGCGAGCCAUCAGCAGAUCCAAGUGAAGAGUUUGAUCCUGGCUCAGAUUGAACGCUGGCGGCAUGCCUAACACAUGCAAGUCGAGCGGCAGCGCGGGGGCGACCCUGGCGGCGAGCGGCGGACGGGUGAGUAAGGCAUCGGAAUCUGCCCUGAUGUGGGGGAUAACGUAGGGAAACUUACGCUAAUACCGCAUACGACCGAGAGGUGAAAGCGGGGGACCGAAAGGCCUCGCGCAGCAGGAUGAGCCGAUGUCCGAUUAGCUGGUUGGUGGGGUAACGGCCUACCAAGGCGACGAUCGGUAGCUGGU